UACAGGGGGGGCAAGCGUUGUUCGGAAUUACUGGGCGUAAAGGGUCUGUAGGUGGCCAACUAAGUCAGACGUGAAAUCCCUCAGCUUAACUGGGGAACUGCGUCUGAUACUGGAUGGCUUGAGUGCAGGAGAGGAAUGCGGAAUUCCAGGUGUAGCGGUGAAAUGCGUAGAUAUCUGGAGGAACACCGGUGGCGAAGGCGGCAUUCUGGACUGUAACUGACACUGAGAGACGAAAGCCAGGGGAGCAAGCGGG
rnacentral:rRNA from 1 species